rnacentral:tRNA from 1 species
GGAUGUAUAGCUCAAAUGGUUAGAGCAACCCGCUCAUAACGGGUUGGUUGUAGGUUCAAGUCUGCUACAUCCACCA